CCAGUUGAUUUUAUUUAUUAUUUCCUUUGUUUUUUUGAAAUCAUGCUUCGAUUUCUCUUCUUCUCAGUUUCGGUUCUACUUCUUUCCCAGAUCAGUCUGUUAUGGGUUUCUUCUUCUUCUCCGGUGGCAGAUCGUCGUGGAGGAGGAGUUGUCGGUGGUCGAUUGAAGCAGGAACCCGGUGGCGGUGCUGAGGAGUUCGGGU
rnacentral:lncRNA from 1 species